rnacentral:rRNA from 1 species
UACGUAGGGGGCAAGCGUUGUCCGGAUUUAUUGGGCGUAAAGAGCGUGUAGGCGGCCAUACAGGUCCGUUGUGAAACUGGAGGCUUAACCUCCAGACGUCGAUGGAAACCGUAUGGCUAGAGUCCGGAAGAGGAGAGUGGAAUUCCUGGUGUAGCGGUGGAAAUGCGUAGAGAUCAGGAAGAACACCGGUGGCGAAGGCGGGUCGCUGGGCCGAUAUUGACGCUGAGGAGCGAAAGCGUGGGGAGCAAACAGG